CACGUAGGGACCAAGCGUUGUCCGGAUUCAUUGGGCGUAAAGAGCUCGUAGGCGGUUCAGUAAGUCGGGUGUGAAACCUCCAGGCUCAACCUGGAGACGCCACCCGAUACUGCUGUGACUAGAGUCCAGUAGGGGAGCGUGGAAUUCCUGGUGUAGCGGUGAAAUGCGCAGAUAUCAGGAGGAAUACCAGCGGCGAAGGCGGCGCUCUGGGCCGGUACUGACGCUGAGGAGCGAGAGCGUGGGGAGCAAACGGG
rnacentral:rRNA from 1 species